rnacentral:tRNA from 1 species
GCGGUGGUGGUUCUGUGGUAGAAUUCUCCCCUCCCACGUGGGAGACCUGGGUUCAAUGUCCAGCCAAUGUG